rnacentral:tRNA from 1 species
GCCGGGAUAGCUCAGCGGUAGAGCGACGGUUUCGUAAACCGUAGGUCGAGGGUUCGAAUCCCUCUCCCGGCU